rnacentral:rRNA from 1 species
UACGGGGGGGGCAAGCGUUGUUCGGAAUUACUGGGCGUAAAGGGCUCGUAGGUGGCCACCUAAGUCAGACGUGAAAUCCCCAGGCUCAACUUGGGAACUGCGUCUGAUACUGGAUGGCUUGAAUUCGGGAGAGGGAUGCAGAAUUCCAGGUGUAGCGGUGAAAUGCGUAGAUAUCUGGAGGAAUACCGGUGGCGAAGGCGGCAUCCUGGACCGAUAUUGACACUGAUGAGCGAAAGCUAGGGGAGCAAACGGG